ACUGCAGCAAUCUAGUCCUGGAUUUGGGGGGGUGUCUGAGGGAGACAGGAAGAGGAGCCAGCACAUCAGUGGCUCUGUCCUUGUGUGGGGGGUGGAUGAGCAUGUCCGUAAGUGGGGGGCAGCCUGCGAGAACGAGUGUGUGCAGGCACAGCCAGAUUACUGAGAAAAUAAGGAAAUGAGCUUGUGGGAGGGAUGGAGGGAGAAUAACUGAGUAGGUGACAGAGGCUACACUCGAGAGCCUAAGACAGCAAAGGGGGCUGCCUACUGGUCUUGUAUCCAUCCAGCUCCCAGGGAAAGGAACAAGAAAGGGUAGGAAUACACCGUAUGAACACCGUAUGAACAAUCAGAUCCUGUGGCCAAGCCCAGAGGACAUCACAAAAGUGAGUAUGUGGCGUGCUGACAAGCCGUGUGUGCAACUGCAUGUGCCAGCUUUGUGUGAGGACAGCAGAGACACAGAAGACAUCACCCUCGAAAGGUCCAACCUCCUGUCAGCACAGGCAUCUGGCCCCUGUCCCAAAGGCUGUGUCCUCGUUUCUCUGAGGAGCACUUUGUACUGACCCAGGAGCCGGCAUGCAGCCUCGGCUCCAGAUGGGAGUAGCCAUCUGCCUACAGUCUGGGUCUCCAGGUUGUCGUGAAUGGGCUCUGUCCCAUAGACUCCCGUGACAGCUUGUUAUAAUCAGAGCUGAGCCUCUCCUGUUCCAGUUGCAGUUUCUGAUUCAAACUGAAAUUGAGAGGAAAAAGCAAUAUAUUCCAGCAUCCCCCCACAAGUGUCGGAAGCUGUCUUCCAUGGAGGACGGCAGCCGACAUGGGGCAGCCCUUGGAGUACGGUUUUGUGGAGACAGAAAGUCAGCAUCUGGCUGUGCUGGUCAAAUUUAUGUCAAUCUGACAUGAGCUGAAGUCAUUUGGGAAGGAGGGCUCUCAAUUGAGGAACUGCUGUCACAAGAUCUGCCUGAAGGCAAGUCUGCAGUAUUUUAUUGUUAUUGAUGAAUGCUAUGGAAGGAACAAGCUCUCCGAAGAGGUGCCAUCCCAGGGCUGGUGGUACUGGGUGCUGUAAGAACGCAGGCUGAGCAAGCCAUGAGGAGCAAGGCAGUAAGCAGCAGCCCUGCAGAGCCUCUGCCCUAAGUUCCUGUCCUCACUUCCCUGGAUGAUAACUGUCAACUGCUUAACUCGAAAUAAAUCCUUUCCUCCACAA
rnacentral:lncRNA from 1 species